GUGAGUCAUCGAAUCUUUGAACGCAUAUUGCGCCCUUUGGUAUUCCGAAGGGCAUGCCUGUUCGAGCGUCAUUACACCCCUCAGGCCCCCGGGUUUGAUGUUGGGCGGCGUCCCCGCCGGGGGCGCGCCUGAAAGACAGCGAUGGUGACCGUGUACCUCCAAGCGCACAGAUGUCGCUAUGCGGGACGCGGCGGCCAGUCUUCGGAUGAAUGUUCUGAACGUUGACCUCGGAUCAGGUAGGGAUACCCGCUGAACUUAAGCAUAUCAAUAAGCGGAGGA
rnacentral:misc_RNA from 1 species